GCGCACCAGUCGCGAAUCUUCCGCAAUGGGCGAAAGCCUGACGGAGCGACGCCGCGUGACCGAAGACGCCCUUCGGGGUGUAAAGGUCUUUUCUAGGGGACCAAUAUCCCGAUUUAUCGGGGUGAGUGUACCCUAGGAAUAAGGGGCCGCCAAACUCGUGCCAGCAGCGGCGGUAAGACGAGUGCCCCAAGCGUUAUCCGGGAAUUACUGGGCGUUAAAGCGUCUGUAGGGGGUUUGAUAAGUCUCCUGUCAAAUUCCGA
rnacentral:rRNA from 1 species